rnacentral:rRNA from 1 species
GGAGGUAGUGACAAUAAAUCUCAAUACGAAGCCUUUGGUUUUGUAAUUGAAUUGAGAACAAUGUACAAUCGUUAUCGAUAAACAAUUGGAGGGCAAGUCUGGUGCCAGCAGCCGCGGUAAUUCCAGCUCCAAUAGCGUAUAUUAACGUUGUUGCAGUUAAAAAGCUCGUAGUUGAAGUUUAGAUAAUUUAUUGAAAGUGUUUGUAUUCGUACAUUCUACUUUUAUGUAAGUUAUCGACAUCCAGGUGGGUGCCAUGGUUCCGCAAGGAAUUGUGGUACUAGACUGGUCAUUUACUGUGAGAAAAUUAGAGUGUUUAAAGCAGACUUUUAUUCAGUUUGAAUAGAUUAGCAUGGAAUAAUAAGAUUGGCUUUCAUAGUCGAUUUUUUGGUUUGUUUAUGAAAGCAAGAUUAAUAGGGACAGUUGGGGGUAUUCAUAUCAAUAGCUAGAGGUGAAAUUCUAUGAUUUAUGGAAGAUGAACAAGUGCGAAAGCA